rnacentral:tmRNA from 1 species
GGGGCUGAUUCUGGAUUCGACGGGAUUUGCGAAACCCAAGGUGCAUGCCGAGGGGCGGUUGGCCUCGUAAAAAGCCGCAAAAAAUAGUCGCAAACGACGAAAACUACGCUUUAGCAGCUUAAUAACCUGCUUAGAGCCCUCUCUCCCUAGCCUCCGCUCUUAGGACGGGGAUCAAGAGAGGUCAAACCCAAAAGAGAUCGCGUGGAAGCCCUGCCUGGGGUUGAAGCGUUAAAACUUAAUCAGGCUAGUUUGUUAGUGGCGUGUACGUCCGCAGCUGGCAAGCGAAUGUAAAGACUGACUAAGCAUGUAGUACCGAGGAUGUAGGAAUUUCGGACGCGGGUUCAACUCCCGCCAGCUCCACCA